UAGGGAAUCUUCGGCAAUGGACGAAAGUCUGACCGAGCAACGCCGCGUGAGUGAAGAAGGUUUUCGGAUCGUAAAACUCUGUUGUUAGAGAAGAACAAGGACGUUAGUAACUGAACGUCCCCUGACGGUAUCUAACCAGAAAGCCACGGCUAACUACGUGCCAGCAGCCGCGGUAAUACGUAGGUGGCAAGCGUUGUCCGGAUUUAUUGGGCGUAAAGCGAGCGCAGGCGGUUUCUUAAGUCUGAUGUGAAAGCCCCCGGCUCAACCGGGGAGGGUCAUUGGAAAAUGGGAGACUUGAGUGCAGAAGAGGAGAGUGGAAUUCCAUGUGUAGCGGUGAAAUGCGUAGAUAUAUGGAGGAACACCAGUGGCGAAGGCGGCUCUCUGGUCUGUAACUGACGCUGAGGCUCGAAAGCGUGGGGAGCAAACAGG
rnacentral:rRNA from 2 species